rfam:Triticum aestivum genome assembly, contig: Triticum_aestivum_CS42_TGACv1_scaffold_129815_2BL
AUUGUACUCCCUCUGUCCCAAAUUUUUUAUCUUAGAUUUGUCUAAAUACGGAUGUAUCUAGUUACAUUUUAGUGUUAGAUACAUCCGUAUCUAAACAAAUGUAAGACAAAAAUUUUGGGACAAAGGGAGUAUCUU